rnacentral:rRNA from 1 species
GUUUGAUGUUCUAACGUGGACCCGUUACCCGGGUUGCGGACAGUGUCUGGUGGGUAGUUUGACUGGGGCGGUCUCCUCCUAAAGAGUAACGGAGGAGCACGAAGGUUGGCUAAUCCUGGUCGGACAUCAGGAGGUUAGUGCAAUGGCAUAAGCCAGCUUGACUGCGAGCGUGACGGCGCGAGCAGGUGCGAAAGCAGGUCAUAGUGAUCCGGUGGUUCUGAAUGGAAGGGCCAUCGCUCAACGGAUAAAAGGUACUCCGGGGAUAACAGGCUGAUACCGCCCAAGAGUUCAUAUCGACGGCGGUGUUUGGCACCUCGAUGUCGGCUCAUCACAUCCUGGGGCUGAAGUAGGUCCCAAGGGUAUGGCUGUUCGCCAUUUAAAGUGGUACGCGAGCUGGGUUUAGAACGUCGUGAGACAGUUCGGUCCCUAUCUGCCGUGGGCGCUGGAGAACUGAGGGGGGCUGCUCCUAGUACGAGAGGACCGGAGUGGACGCAUCACUGGUGUUCGGGUUGUCAUGCCAAUGGCACUGCCCGGUAGCUAAAUGCGGAAGAGAUAAGUGCUGAAAGCAUCUAAGCACGAAACUUGCCCCGAGAUGAGUUCUCCCUGAGACUUAGAGUCUCCUGAAGGAACGUUGAAGACGACGACGUUGAUAGGCCGGGUGUGUAAGCGCAGCGAUGCGUUGAGCUAACCGGUACUAAUGAACCGUGAGGCUUAACCUUACAACGCCGAAG